rnacentral:rRNA from 1 species
UACGGGGGGGGUAAGCGUUGUUCGGAAUUACUGGGCGUAAAGGGCUCGUAGGCGGCCAACUAAGUCAGACGUGAAAUCCCUCAGCUUAACUGGGGAACUGCGUCUGAUACUGGAUGGCUUGGAUCCGGAAGAGGGAUGCGGAAUUCCAGGUGUAGCGGUGAAAUGCGUAGAUAUCUGGAGGAACACCGGUGGCGAAGGCGGCAUCCUGGGCCGGUACUGACGCUGAGACGCGAAAAGCGUGGGGAGCGAACAGG